CAGAGAGAGGAGAGAGGAGAGAGGAGGCGUCGUGCGUGAAAGAAGAGCCGAGAGGGAAGGUCCUGGAAAGAAAAAUUGGAGGAGAGAGGGAGGGGUAGGAUGAGCAAAGCAAAAGGUAGGGCUGCCCGAAAGUUUGGUUUUGCUUUUUCUCAGUAAGGUGUGCGCAGAGACACGGCGAGGCAGGAAGGGACGGCUAAGCCUAGGGUUGGUUUCAGAGUUUUGGUUCCAGCUGGAAGCCAUCUCAGGUUGGUUUCAGAGUUUUGUGUUGCAGAAGCAUUGAUCCCGUGGAGGCCGAAGAUGCUCAGGUUUUUUUACCCAAAUGGUCCCAAACUUUCACUCACUCGCAUUUGUAUUUUCUUGAUUUCAGUUUCUGGGUAUUUGUUUUUGCUGCUUGGCCGAUCUAGGUUUUCUGUAUAAUUGAUUUGUUUUGGGUUUAAAUUGUUGAUUAGUGAUUGUUGCGUGUUUCACGGAAGGCACUGCUCAAUGGAAUUAGCCCCUCAAAACCGAAGUAUUCCGCCUAUGUAUUAUGUUAUAUCAAGUUUUGUGAACUUAUUUUUUUUUUUUUAUUCACUUGAAUUAGCAUAUUUCAUUCCCUUAAAAUUAAUUGUAAGGCUGCACUCAAAAUGGGUUAAAUGUUGAGCUCUGACUCUCUAAUACUUUUACAUGAAUGAGCUCUGACUCUCUGAUGUUUGUUUAUAAGUUUUUUGGUUAAUUUUACAUUGUAAUUGUUUUCCCCUAAUUUGAAUGAUUAAUUGUUGAACUUUUCUUUCCUCCAAAUCCUCAUGUUUUCAUAUCGACAAGCCAAAAGAAAUCGAAGAUGCAAAACUGGUAAUUGAAGCUUUAAGAAGUAAAGGUGUUUCUGCAAUUGGUGUUGUAGGCUUCUGUUGGGGCGGAAUGGUUUGAUUUUGCUUGGGUUUCUUGAGGGUUCAACAACAUCAGGUACUUUUUGACCCAAUCAACCACCAAGAACAGGUAUGUUGCCUGUUCGCAUGCUUCCUUUGUUUCAGAAGGGAGUCGACUCAAUUGGGAGUUCGGAGCUUUAGGAGUGUGAAGAAGAGUAUACAGAGAUUGGAGGAAGCAGCUGUGUCUUGCGGGGCACCCGAAAGACUUGAGAUGCUGAGAAGUUGGGUCCUGCUACUUAAAGAGGUGGACAGGCUGAAGCUUUCUCAGGGUUUCGGCGACGUUUCCUACAAUUCCUGCGAUGGCCAACCUCGAGGUUGGUCUCAAGCAACUCCUCAUAACCUCAGAGAGUUGGCGAGCUCAAUUCUGGCCAAAUUCUAUCAAAUUAGGCAAUAAUUGGCCACUCGCUCCUAACCCCCUACCGUGUGUUACGCAGAGGCAAGGCCCUCUAUCACUCUUUCAACAAAAGCGCAUUUCCCAUGUUCGACACUCACACAGG